CCUACGGGAGGCUGCAGUGAGGAAUAUUGGUCAAUGGCCGAGAGGCUGAACCAGCCAAGUCGCGUGAGGGAAGACGGCCCUACGGGUUGUAAACCUCUUUUGUCGGGGAGCAAAGCGAACCACGUGUGGUUCAUUGAGAGUACCCGAAGAAAAAGCAUCGGCUAACUCCGUGCCAGCAGCCGCGGUAAUACGGAGGAUGAGAGCGUUAUCCGGAUUUAUUGGGUUUAAAGGGUGCGCAGGCGGAGGUGUAAGUCCGCGGUCAAAUCGCGGGGCUCAACCCCGUACUGCCGUUGAAACUGCAUCCCUUGAGUGCGCGAGAAGUAUGCGGAAUGCGUGGUGUAGCGGUGAAAUGCAUAGAUAUCACGCAGAACUCCGAUUGCGAAGGCAGCAUACCGGCGCGCAACUGACGCUCAUGCACGAAAGCGUGGGGAUCGAACAGGAUUAGAUACCCGAGUAGUC
rnacentral:rRNA from 1 species